ensembl:snoRNA Gm22304 small nucleolar RNA SNORA61
ACCCUCCGGUUCCCUUCCCCAUCAGAUCUCAACGCUGGUCUUGGUGGUUGUAAAGGAGGAAGACCACACUGAAGCUGGCCUCAUGGAGAUGCAGUCUGCUGGAGAUCAUCAGGCCAGAUUCAAACAUCC